CGACGAUGCGUAGGGGUUCUGAGAGGAAGGUCCCCCACACUGGUACUGAGACACGGACCAGACUCCUACGGGAGGCAGCAG
rnacentral:rRNA from 1 species